UACGUAGGGUGCGAGCGUUAAUCGGAUUUACUGGGCGUAAAGCGUGCGCAGGCGGCCCGUUAAGACAGGUGUGAAAUCCCUGGGCUCAACCCAGGAAUUGCGCUUGUGACUGGCGGGCUCGAGUACGGUAGAGGGGGGUGGAAUUCCUGGUGUAGCAGUGAAAUGCGUAGAGAUCAGGAGGAACACCGAUGGCGAAGGCAGCCCCCUGGGCCUGUACUGACGCUCAUGUACGAAAGCGUGGGGAGCAAACAGG
rnacentral:rRNA from 1 species